UAAUUUGAGAGUUUGAUCCUGGCUCAGGACGAACGCUGGCGGCGUGCCUAAUACAUGCAAGUCGAACGAACUCUGGUAUUGAUUGGUGCUUGCAUCAUGAUUUACAUUUGAGUGAGUGGCGAACUGGUGAGUAACACGUGGGAAACCUGCCCAGAAGCGGGGGAUAACACCUGGAAACAGAUGCUAAUACCGCAUAACAACUUGGACCGCAUGGUCCGAGUUUGAAAGAUGGCUUCGGCUAUCACUUUUGGAUGGUCCCGCGGCGUAUUAGCUAGAUGGUGGGGUAACGGCUCACCAUGGCAAUGAUACGUAGCCGACCUGAGAGGGUAAUCGGCCACAUUGGGACUGAGACACGGCCCAAACUCCUACGGGAGGCAGCAGUAGGGAAUCUUCCACAAUGGACGAAAGUCUGAUGGAGCAACGCCGCGUGAGUGAAGAAGGGUUUCGGCUCGUAAAACUCUGUUGUUGAAGAAGAACAUAUCUGAGAGUAACUGUUCAGGUAUUGACGGUAUUUAACCAGAAAGCCACGGCUAACUACGUGCCAGCAGCCGCGGUAAUACGUAGGUGGCAAGCGUUGUCCGGAUUUAUUGGGCGUAAAGCGAGCGCAGGCGGUUUUUUAAGUCUGAUGUGAAAGCCUUCGGCUCAACCGAAGAAGUGCAUCGGAAACUGGGAAACUUGAGUGCAGAAGAGGACAGUGGAACUCCAUGUGUAGCGGUGAAAUGCGUAGAUAUAUGGAAGAACACCAGUGGCGAAGGCGGCUGUCUGGUCUGUAACUGACGCUGAGGCUCGAAAGUAUGGGUAGCAAACAGGAUUAGAUACCCUGGUAGUCCAUACCGUAAACGAUGAAUGCUAAGUGUUGGAGGGUUUCCGCCCUUCAGUGCUGCAGCUAACGCAUUAAGCAUUCCGCCUGGGGAGUACGGCCGCAAGGCUGAAACUCAAAGGAAUUGACGGGGGCCCGCACAAGCGGUGGAGCAUGUGGUUUAAUUCGAAGCUACGCGAAGAACCUUACCAGGUCUUGACAUACUAUGCAAAUCUAAGAGAUUAGACGUUCCCUUCGGGGACAUGGAUACAGGUGGUGCAUGGUUGUCGUCAGCUCGUGUCGUGAGAUGUUGGGUUAAGUCCCGCAACGAGCGCAACCCUUAUUAUCAGUUGCCAGCAUUAAGUUGGGCACUCUGGUGAGACUGCCGGUGACAAACCGGAGGAAGGUGGGGAUGACGUCAAAUCAUCAUGCCCCUUAUGACCUGGGCUACACACGUGCUACAAUGGAUGGUACAACGAGUUGCGAACUCGCGAGAGUAAGCUAAUCUCUUAAAGCCAUUCUCAGUUCGGAUUGUAGGCUGCAACUCGCCUACAUGAAGUCGGAAUCGCUAGUAAUCGCGGAUCAGCAUGCCGCGGUGAAUACGUUCCCGGGCCUUGUACACACCGCCCGUCACACCAUGAGAGUUUGUAACACCCAAAGUCGGUGGGGUAACCUUUUAGGAACCAGCCGCCUAAGGUGGGACAGAUGAUUAGGGUGAAGUCGUAACAAGGUAGCCGUAGGAGAACCUGCGGCUGGAUCACCUCCUUU
rnacentral:rRNA from 2 species